rnacentral:lncRNA from 1 species
AGAAGCGAAAUCCCCCCGAAUCAAGCAAACUUAACGAGGUCCAGGUCCUGCAUACCAGCACUUUGGCGCAGCUGUAUGAAACAAGGCUGGUGAUACAAGAUUGUGUUGCAGGACAUCACUUGGGAACACAUUCUUAAAAGUGUGUCUUUGCUGGUCGUUGACACAAUCGAAGCCCAUUGAUGAUACUGAUUAUUUUCAUAAGAGAUGCGAAAGAGACCCGGGGAUCACUCAAAUUUCCUGGCUGUGAGGCACUGUGAUGGCCCGAACACCAGAGCAUGAUUUUCUCCGUGCUGUGGGCACACCAUUGCCAAAGAAGGCAAAAACCCUAGAAGAACCGCCACGCUCGCCAGCAACACACACACCAGGAUCUGCGGGCAUCUCCCAACGCAGCUCUAUCAGGUCUGUGGUGUCACCAAAGGUUGCCACUGCUCAGACUUGCAGAUUGAUGUGGAGAAGCAAUCAGCACUGAAUACAUCUUCGUAUUGUGGUGCAGAAGGGAUAGCCGAGCAAGCUCCCUCGGGGCGCCAGACAAAAGUCUUCUCCCUCGAGAGCCCAGAAGGAAUACCAGGAGGGUGCCCUUGUGGAUC